UACGUAGGGGGCAAGCGUUGUCCGGAUUUAUUGGGCGUAAAGAGCGUGUAGGCGGCCAUACAGGUCCGUUGUGAAAACUGGAGGCUUAACCUCCAGACGUCGAUGGAAACCGUAUGGCUAGAGUCCGGAAGAGGAGAGUGGAAUUCCUGGUGUAGCGGUGAAAUGCGCAGAUAUCAGGAAGAACACCCGUGGCGAAGGCGGCUCUCUGGGACGGUACUGACGCUGAGGCGCGACAGCGUGGGGAGCAAACAGG
rnacentral:rRNA from 1 species